AUGGGGUCUAACUCUUGGAGUCUCUAACUCCGAACUUCGUCAAAGAGGGCAACGACAAGGGGUUCGAGGAGCUGGUAGAGGAGUUCACCCCCUACGCGGAUGGCGUGGCCCAGAUUUCAUCAGCCGAAGACAUCAUUGCUCGUGUCUUCGGUGAUGAAGAUUAGAUUUUUAGUUUUUAAUUUUUUUAUUUUGUUGAUGUAGUCACCCCCUCUGAACAAUUCCACUAGCCAUCGAGGUAGUUUAUCUUAAUUUGAUUUUGUCGAUCAAAUGUCUAAAAUUUCUGUGACAUUCUCCAUCGAGGCAAUCUAACAUGUUCCCUGCAUCGACAUGAACACUUCUUGUUUGUUUGAUUUCUGCUCUAAAGGGGAUACAUAUCAUAUUGGUUAUUUUCAGUUAUCAAUAACUCUGAAUUUUUUGUACUAAAGGCAAUACCUUCUGUAUCGGCUAUUAGGGGUUAUAUUGCAACACUUAAUCAACUAAAGCAAAUCAACCUAGACACUUGGGUAAUACUUUUGAAAUACUUUCCAUUAAUAGCUCUAGAAUAUACUUAUCCUUCCAAUAUUUCAUAGAAGUAGGCAUUUCCAGGAGCAACCCUAGUAAUCUGAUAUGGCCCUUCUCAGUUAAUUGACCAUUUGCCAAAUUUGUUGUCUUUAGAUCCAAUCGGUAAAUCACUUUCCAAACAAAUUCCCCUUCGCUGAAUCUCUUUCCUCGUACCCUCUGAUUAUAAAAUUCAGCAAUCUUAAUCUUAUGAGCUUUAAUAUUCUCUAGAGCCUUUAGCUGAUGAUAAUUUAAAUCAUCCAAAUUAUCUAACAUAAUUUUUUUUUUAAUCAUCGGCUGUCAACUCAUCUUGAUAUGACAUCCUUCGAGAUCCUAUAUUAAUCUCCCAAGGCAAUAUAGCUUUAUGCCCAUAGACUAAUUCAUUAGGUGAACAUUUAGUCGAUCCACAAUAAGCCAUUCUAUAAGACCAGAGAGUUUCACUAAACACCGAAUGCCAUUGAGUGUGCCAAAAAUGUGUUGG
rnacentral:lncRNA from 1 species